rnacentral:tmRNA from 1 species
GGGACUGAAAGGAUUUCUACAUUUUGAUAUUUUAAUUAUGUUUUAUUUGACUAAUUCAACUUAUUAAUUUUUUAUACAUUUGAUAUAUUUGUUUUUGAUAAUAUUAAAGAUGGAAAAAUAUUAAUAAUUGUAAUUUAAUUGCAAAGCACAAUAUUAUAUCUUUUUCUAAAAAUUUGGUAAUAGCAUAAAUUAUUAGAAUUUUAAAUUGUAUUUUCUUGAUUCAAUUUAUCUAUUCAUUUCAAGAAUGCUCUAAUUGUUAAAGUGUAGUUUGAGCUUGUUUGAUUAUUUAUUUUCAAUUAGUAAAGUAUAAAUGGUCUUAAUUUAAAAGUUCAGUAAAAAUUUAUUAGUUAAAUGGUACCAACUUAAUUUUUAUAUCAAUAUGGACGUGGGUUCAAAUCCCACCAGUUCCA